rfam:Tilletiaria anomala TBC 951 K437scaffold_81, whole genome shotgun sequence.
GGGCCUCUAACUCAGUGGUAGAGUGCUUGCUUAGCACCAGCUCUUUGAUUCUCUAGUGGGCGUGGAUUUGCAUGAAGUCCAGGGUUCAAUUCCCUGGAGGUCCA